GAGUGGCGAACGGGUGAGUAACGCGUGAAGAACCUGCCCUCAACAGGGGGACAACACUCCUAACGGGGUGCUAAUACCGCAUGAGACCACGGGUCUGCAUGGUCCCGAGGUCAAAGGUGGCCUCUGCCCGGUUGAGGAUGGCUUCGCGUCCCAUUAGCUAGUUGGCGGUGUAACGGACCACCAAGGCGACGAUGGGUAGCUGGUCUGAGAGGAUGGUCAGCCACACUGGGACUGAGAUACGGCCCAGACUCCUACGGGAGGCAGCAGUCGAGAGGCUUUGGCAAUGGGGGAAACCCUGACCAAGCGACGCCGCGUGGAGGAUGAAGGCCCUUGGGUCGUAAACUCCUUUUGUCGGGGAAGAAACACGAUCAGGUGAACAAUCUGGUCGCUUGACGGUACCCGGCGAAUAAGCUCCGGCUAACUCCGUGCCAGCAGCCGCGGUAACACGGGGGGAGCAAGCGUUGUUCGGAAUCACUGGGCGUAAAGGGCGUGUAGGCGGUCAGGUAAGUGGAAUGUGAAAUCCCUCGGCUCACCCGAGGACCUGCAUCCCAAACUGCCUGGCUUGAGUAUGGGAGAGGAUGAGGGAAUUCCUGGUGUAGCGGUGAAAUGCGUAGAUAUCAGGAGGAACACCGGUGGCGAAGGCGCUCAUCUGGCCCAAUAC
rnacentral:rRNA from 1 species